CGCAAAGUGUUUUGUAAAUUUCAUUUUACAAUUUCUUCCAUAAUUUAUAUUUUAAAAGUUAAUUUAUCAGUUUGCAAUUGUUAUUAUACAUCUACAGAAUUUCAAUUUAAGGAUACAGGAAGUAACGUUUUAAUAAAAUCACCGCUCGUCUUUCUUUGGCAGCUCUUUCCUUUUAUGCCAGUUCGUCGUGUUACAUUUACCGCAAAAUUGAUCCCCACUUUCUUUAGUUGUGAAACGUUUUCUUCAAUCCCCUUCGGAACGAUCCCAAAGGUCUAUUUACCGUGCAAUUCUUAGCUCGACUCUCUAUCAUUAUCGUCGAUACUCGAGAAAUAUAGAUAUCGCGUGUAACACAUUUCCUGCAAUUCGUUAAAUCCACUCUGACAUUUCUAACGGCAAAAAUUUCGAUUAUUUGUGCAAUUAUUUUAGAAGUAAGUUGUUAAAAUUUUGCGAGAUAUAAUAAUGAUUAAUAUGUGAAGUGGUAAGUUGUUUUUAAAAAAAUAAUAUAUGUAUGAAAAUUAUUAAAGAUAAUGUGUGAUGAUGCCUAACAUUUUAUGAUAAUGUUAAUUGCUUUAUUGUGAAUAACAGAAUUUUAUUUUUUUCAUGAUAUAUAAAAAGUUUAAAGAAGAUAUUAAUGUAAAUGAGGAAAAGUAUGGUAUUCUUAAAAUAGAUUAGGGGAAAGUAGUACAAGUGCAUUUUUUAAAAUAAAUAUAGGAAAAUUGUAUAAUAUGUAUAUUUAUCUGAAGCAUCUUUAUUUAUGAAUAUACAUGUAGUAUUAUAUUUUAUGUUUAUUUGUGUAUAUAGUUAAAGUUUAUAUUUUUUUACUUUUUUUCAUAUUUUUACAUUUUUCAUAUUCAUGAAAAAAUAUAAUUCUUUUAUAAUUCUUUCUUCAUAUAAUAAUGGAGAAAAUUAUGGAGAUAUUCGAAACACGCAAAUUUUGUUAUUUCAUCAAUAAUAUUUAAAAUAAUUAUAAACAAAAAAAUAUUAGAUUAUUUUGAGGAAACAGAAUUUAAAAAUGAAGCUACUUAAACAUAUAGAAUAAGAAACACAAAGAUUAAAGAAAUAACCAUAAUAAUCUUCUGCUAAGAUAUUUCUGUUUCAGUUUAUACAAAAGUAAAUAAGGAUCAAAGAAACACGCCUCUUCGAAUUUUAUAUUGCACAACUGUGUUUGAAGAGUGUAACUUGAUGCCGCAGAAUUUUUCCAACCUUUCCCUCAAACAGUGAUUUAAAUAAUUCGCAAUUUCCCCGCCCGCAAACGACACACCAUUACGAAAUCUUUAACCACCGGUCGUUUUUACCGUGAAGAAACCCGUUAAUGUCCACGUAACGUUACAAACUUGAUGUUGGCCACUAAUGCCACUACCUUUUCGUCUAGAAUGCGAGCUGACUUCGCAAAAUCCAACUGUUUCGUUUCUUAGAUUGAAAGAAAAAGUUUACGUGCACGUAGAAAUUCUUGCUGUGACACCAAAUAAAGAAAACGAAAUAUUCUGAUUACAAAACGUAAUUAGAGAUACGGGAUAUAAAAUGAAUUUCAGCAGAUUAAAAUUGAUGUCAUUAAUUCAUUUCCACGAUUAAGGAUUAUGAAAUAUCUAUAAAAAUAGUGACAGGUUCACGCAUAUAUGCUAAAAACCACAAUGAUGUUAUCUCAGUGUUCAUAGAAGUGACUAACACAGCGGUUUCCUGUGAGGGUGUUCCUUUGUCGGCUAUGUAAAUACUCAUUGAGAUUAAACACACAAUUUUACUCAAAGGAACGUAUUUGCUAAUCCAAUUAUUAUUUUAUGAUAUCGUCGUAUCACCGAUUGCAUUGAUAACACGAAAUUAUUAUUCAGAAUUCGUUAAACAUUACGUGAUUCUGUGCGAAUAAUUGUGAUCCAAUGUUUGUUUGAAAAAUUUAAGAAAUUGACUAGUAAACAGAAAAUAUUAAAAUAUUUGAAAUUUCUGAUGGUGUAAUUUUACGAUGGAUUAAAAUGAGACGAGGUAAAAAUAGAUGUUACACAGAAAUUUUUGCGGAAAUGAAAUAAAUGAUCAAAAAUUUGCAAAACAUGUUUUUACUGAAAUCCUAAGAAUUGUGAAAUCGAUUCUCCAAAUUAUUACGAAUUCUUUUUAAAUUUAUAUGCGUGAAUCACAUACAAUAUUUUGCUUCAUCGUGUGAAUAGCUUUAAUUGAAACGUCAGAUUUUUGCCUUUUAUCGUUAACAGAGAUUAUAUUGGAAUGCAGCUUGUUUGCAUAUCGUCGAUUUUGUCUGGAAACAAAAAAUUAAUGAGAAGUUUUUGAAGAAAAAAUGGAAUAAUUUAAAUAAUAAUUCAAAACAAAUUGCACAAAACAGGAGAUGUAUUACGAUAUACGCAAAAGUAAAGACAGUGAUACAGCGGAUUUUUAUGAUAUGAUAAAACAAUAUUAUCUGCAAUUUGGUAGCAAGAAAUAAAGUAUGUCAUUGAUCAAAUAAAAUAUUGUUGAUCUCUUGGAUAAAUUCCAUAUUCAAUAAUAAAUUUUUCUCUGAAAAUAAUUUAAUCAUCUCUUCUACUCUAGAUAAAAUCAAUCUUAUCUACUUGUUAUAUAUUAAAUUAAAUAUAAAUUAAUGAAAUAUUUAUACAUAUAUGAAAAUCAAAAAUUAAUAUAUAAUAUUAUUAUAUAUUUUAUUGCAAUAUUUAUAAUUGUCAAUAACUAAAUAAAGUUUCAAGUAAUUUCAAGUAGCCAAUAUUCGAAAGAAUCGUAAAAUACAAUCAACGUAUUGUUUCUCUUCUCACAUAUUUUAACAAAGUAUCGGCUUAUUAAGCAUAUUAACAUGUUUUCCAAUACGUGCAACAUGCGUUUAACACGUGUUGCUGAGUUCAUCAUGACGAACGAGGUAAAUCUCUCCUGUUUCGUGGCUGGGUUCAUAAAAAGAGACUCUCACGAAGCUAACGAGGCUAUGCAAAGUUUCUUCACUUUCGAAAGAGGCUUUAAUGAAACGACGCACGAAAAACGAGCAUCGGCUUGGAGAAACUUUUGCGUUUUUGAAGAGAAUCGACUCGAAACGCGGAGAUUAUUAAUCCAUUAAGGAUGGAGUGGUGAAAUAUUUACGCGUAUAAUUAUUCAACAUUCAUCAAGAAUGAUUCUAAUGCAUGGACGAUUUCAUGAAUGUUUGUGGAUGCAAUCUCGAGUAAUAAUCGCACCUAAGAUGAAAUCUCGAUGGUACAGACAUAAUCUACGUCCAAUCUGCCAAUACUGUUAGCUAAUAACACGACAUUAGUCGGUGAAUAUUGCAGCAACAUCGAAAGGAGAUGGUAUAAAUUCCAAAUGAGUAAUUUCGAGGCGAUUUAGCCAAUUCGUUGGAAUCGAAUUGAAUCGUCAAAGGAACGUGGUUGUAAAACAUAAUUUGAAUCGUAUAUGAAUAUAAUUUUAUAAAUGUAAUUAGGAUCUAAUUAUAAAUAUUUCGUGUGAAAAACCUUGUGGAUGAGGAUAUCCUGUUUAUUGGGCAACAAUAUUAUUUUCAUUGGGAUAUUGUUUAGACAGAGAAUACUUAUUGAAAUUGUUAAUCUUAAGACUCGAUUAAAAAUUACAAAUUACAUGAUUUUGAAUCUUGAAAUUCCUUAAUUUAUUUCAUUUUAUUCAAUUUUGGAAUUUUGAACAUACUGUAUUAAGAUUUAUAUUCGAGAAAUAUAAUACCAGUUUGUAUGGGCAGAAAGUUACAUUCGAUUUCAAGAUGGCUAAUCAGUGGCUAAUUAACGUUAGAAUGAUCGUAAUUUGGAUUAUGAAAGUUCACGUUGCAUCCUGGUGUAAGCAGUGAGGUAAUUGUAUCGGUGUUUUCUCACGAUUCUUACCUCUGUACUGAGACGCAGCAUGAAAGUGGUAAGAUGCUCCGUCAAGGUCUUCGUCAGCUUGAAGAGGACUUAGGCUCAAAAGUUUUGGCGCCUCGGCGUGGCCACGAAACCAACGCAUUUCUGGAAUAACAUUAAUAACAAUAAUAAUUAAAUCUCUCAUAUAUAAAUAUUUUUAUCGACUCGAAUAAAAUUAUUCUUUCUUCCACUGCCUUUAAUACUCCGUAUUAAUUUUUUAUAUAUUGCAGAAUAUCAAAAGAUUGCAAAGCAACGAUCGAUCGACCAUAAUAAUAAUUUAUAAAAGUGAAACGGGUUACACUUGCGGUGAAUGGAUUUCGCGUGAACGAAUGGCGACAGUUUCCGCCGUGUUCGCUGAACCGAGGCCCUUCCUUUCUAUCUCGUGAUUGCACUUGUUACUGAUACUGAAUAUUGUGUAAAAAAAAAAAGAAGAAAAAAAGGCUUGAUGAACGGACAACCUUGGCAAAGAAUGGAGGAUGUCAUAAAUUACGAGGCUAUCGUUAAAUCAAUUCAUUGCUAUGUUUGAUUUGAAAUGCCUCGAUCACAUCGACGAUGUAGAUUACGCAAUAUUUCAAAAAAAUCGUACAUUCAGAAAAUUCACAUUUCUUUUCUUUUAUUUUGAUCUAUUGAAUCAUUUAUUGAUUAAGAUUCGUCGAUGCACAGAAAUUUACAAAUAUCGAUUACGUGAUCAACAAAUUGCAAAGCAGUGCCUCUUCUUACAGGCAUUAAAAUCUCCAAUACUACUGUCGUGGCGCUAGUAUCGUUCACUCCUUCUAAAAUAACAGAACAUUACAUUUCAAGAUUUCCUGGCGAGCAUGGAAAUUUUGCUAUGCGUAUCAUACACGCGCGUGUGUAUAAUCCUGUUUCGACGAGACAGCCGCGUAAUGAGAUGAUUAAUACCGCGAAAUCGAGUUAUGCAAGGUGUUAAUGCAUCGAUUAUGUAGCACGCAAGCACCGUGAGAGAAAGAGACGAGGGGACGAGAGAGGCGACUUUCUCCGAUGCAAAUAUGUGUGCCGUCUCCGUUGCUUCCACGACCACGUCCACUUUUCACUUUUCAUUCAGACGACUGAUGACUAUCAAAGAAGAUGAAUCGAGGAUCAAGGGUUGGCCUUCCGUCGACAGCAAGUUCACGGCCAAAUGACUCGAGAAACGCACGCUUUGUGACACUUAGUUGGUCGCGAUUCGACAU